rnacentral:rRNA from 1 species
ACAAUGGCGAAAACCUGAUGCAGCGACGCCGCGUGAGGGAUGAAGGCCUUCGGGUUGUAACCUCUUUCAGCAGGGAAGAAGCGCAAGUGACGGUACCUGCAGAAGAAGCGCCGGCUAACUACGUGCCAGCAGCCGCGGUAAUACGUAGGGCGCAAGCGUUGUCCGGAAUUAUUGGGCGUAAAGAGCUCGUAGGCGGUUUGUCGCGUCUGGUGUGAAAACUCGAGGCUCAACCUCGAGCUUGCAUCGGGUACGGGCAGACUAGAGUGCGGUAGGGGAGACUGGAAUUCCUGGUGUAGCGGUGGAAUGCGCAGAUAUCAGGAGGAACACCGAUGGCGAAGGCAGGUCUCUGGGCCGCAACUGACGCUGAGGAGCGAAAGCAUGGGGAGCGAACAGGAUUAGAUACCCUGGUAGUCCAUGCCGUAAACGUUGGGCACUAGGUGUGGGGCUCAUUCCACGAGUUCCGUGCCGCAGCAAACGCAUUAAGUGCCCCGCCUGGGGAGUACGGCCGCAAGGCUAAAACUCAAAGGAAUUGACGGGGGCCCGCACAAGCGGCGGAGCAUGCGGAUUAAUUCGAUGCAACGCGAAGAACCUUACCAAGGCUUGACAUGCACGAGAAGCCACCAGAGAUGGUGGUCUCUUUGGACACUCGUGCACAGGUGGUGCAUGGUUGUCGUCAGCUCGUGUCGUGAGAUGUUGGGUUAAGUCCCGCAACGAGCGCAACCCUCGUCCCAUGUUGCCAGCGGGUUAUGCCGGGGACUCAUGGGAGACUGCCGGGGUCAACUCGGAGGAAGGUGGGGAUGACGUCAAAUCAUCAUGCCCCUUAUGUCUUGGGCUUCACGCAUGCUACAAUGGCCGGUACAAAGGGCUGCGAUACCGUAAGGUGGAGCGAAUCCCAAAAAGCCGGUCUCAGUUCGGAUUGGGGUCUGCAACUCGACCCCAUGAAGUCGGAGUCGCUAGUAAUCGCAGAUCAGCAACGCUGCGGUGAAUACGUUCCCGGGCCUUGUACACACCGCCCGUCAAGUCACGAAAGUCGGUAACACCCGAAGCCCAUGGCCCAACCGUUCGCGGGGGAGUGGUCGAAGGUGGACGCG